ensembl:snRNA U1 U1 spliceosomal RNA
AUACUUACCUGGCAGGGGAGAUACCAUGAUCACGAAGGUGGUUUUCCCAGGGCGAGGCUCAUCCAUUGCACUACGGAUGUGCUGACCCCUGCGAUUUCCCCAAAUGUGGGAAACUCGACUGCAUAAUUUGUGGUAGUGGGGGACUGCGUUCGCGCUCUCCCCUG